rnacentral:rRNA from 1 species
UAGGGAAUAUUGGGCAAUGGGCGAGAGCCUGACCCAGCCAUGCCGCGUGCAGGAAGAAGGCUUUCUGAGUCGUAAACUGCUUUUGACAGGGAAGAAUAAGCGCUACGUGUAGCGUGAUGACGGUACCUGCAGAAUAAGCACCGGCUAACUCCGUGCCAGCAGCCGCGGUAAUACGGAGGGUGCGAGCGUUGUCCGGAUUUAUUGGGUUUAAAGGGUGCGUAGGCGGCCCGUUAAGUCCGGGGUGAAAGCCCGUUGCUCAACAACGGAACUGCCCUGGAUACUGACGAACUUGAGUACAGACGAGGUUGGCGGAAUGGACCGAGUAGCGGUGAAAUGCAUAGAUACGGUCCAGAACCCCGAUUGCGAAGGCAGCUGACUAGGCUGUUACUGACGCUGAGGCACGACAGCGUGGGGAGCGAACAGG